rnacentral:rRNA from 1 species
AGCUUGCUGCUUCGCUGACGAGUGGCGGACGGGUGAGUAAUGUCUGGGAAACUGCCUGAUGGAGGGGGAUAACUACUGGAAACGGUAGCUAAUACCGCAUAACGUCGCAAGACCAAAGAGGGGGACCUUCGGGCCUCUUGCCAUCGGAUGUGCCCAGAUGGGAUUAGCUAGUAGGUGGGGUAACGGCUCACCUAGGCGACGAUCCCUAGCUGGUCUGAGAGGAUGACCAGCCACACUGGAACUGAGACACGGUCCAGACUCCUACGGGAGGCAGCAGUGGGGAAUAUUGCACAAUGGGCGCAAGCCUGAUGCAGCCAUGCCGCGUGUAUGAAGAAGGCCUUCGGGUUGUAAAGUACUUUCAGCGGGGAGGAAGGGAGUAAAGUUAAUACCUUUGCUCAUUGACGUUACCCGCAGAAGAAGCACCGGCUAACUCCGUGCCAGCAGCCGCGGUAAUACGGAGGGUGCAAGCGUUUAAUCGGAAUUACUGGGCGUAAAGCGCACGCAGGCGGUUUGUUAAGUCAGAUGUGAAAUCCCCGGGCUCAACCUGGGAACUGCAUCUGAUACUGGCAAGCUUGAGUCUCGUAGAGGGGGGUAGAAUUCCAGGUGUAGCGGUGAAAUGCGUAGAGAUCUGGAGGAAUACCGGUGGCGAAGGCGGCCCCCUGGACGAAGACUGACGCUCAGGUGCGAAAGCGUGGGGAGCAAACAGGAUUAGAUACCCUGGUAGUCCACGCCGUAAACGAUGUCGACUUGGAGGUUGUGCCCUUGAGGCGUGGCUUCCGGAGCUAACGCGUUAAGUCGACCGCCUGGGGAGUACGGCCGCAAGGUUAAAACUCAAAUGAAUUGACGGGGGCCCGCACAAGCGGUGGAGCAUGUGGUUUAAUUCGAUGCAACGCGAAGAACCUUACCUGGUCUUGACAUCCACGGAAGUUUUCAGAGAUGAGAAUGUGCCUUCGGGAACCGUGAGACAGGUGCUGCAUGGCUGUCGUCAGCUCGUGUUGUGAAAUGUUGGGUUAAGUCCCGCAACGAGCGCAACCCUUAUCCUUUGUUGCCAGCGGUCCGGCCGGGAACUCAAAGGAGACUGCCAGUGAUAAACUGGAGGAAGGUGGGGAUGACGUCAAGUCAUCAUGGCCCUUACGACCAGGGCUACACACGUGCUACAAUGGCGCAUACAAAGAGAAGCGACCUCGCGAGAGCAAGCGGACCUCAUAAAGUGCGUCGUAGUCCGGAUUGGAGUCUGCAACUCGACUCCAUGAAGUCGGAAUCGCUAGUAAUCGUGGAUCAGAAUGCCACGGUGAAUACGUUCCCGGGCCUUGUACACACCGCCCGUCACACCAUGGGAGUGGGUUGCAAA